rnacentral:rRNA from 1 species
AACGUAGGACGCAAGCGUUAUCCGGAGUUACUGGGCGUAAAGGGCGGGCAGGCGGUGUGUCGCGUCGGAUGUGAAAGCCCGGGGCUUAACCCCGGGUCUGCAUUCGGUACGGGCAUGCUGGAGUUCGGUAGGGGAGACUGGAAUUCCUGGUGUAGCGGUGAAAUGCGCAGAUAUCAGGAGGAACACCGGUGGCGAAGGCGGGUCUCUGGGCCGAUACUGACGCUGAGGAGCGAAAGCGUGGAGAGCGAACAGG